rnacentral:rRNA from 1 species
UACGAAGGGGGCUAGCGUUGUUCGGAAUUACUGGGCGUAAAGGGCGCGUAGGCGGCGUGUCAAGUCAGGCGUGAAAGCCCCGGGCUCAACCUGGGAACCGCGCUUGAGACUGGCAUGCUCGAGUUCGGGAGAGGAUGGUGGAAUUCCCAGUGUAGAGGUGAAAUUCGUAGAUAUUGGGAAGAACACCGAUGGCGAAGGCAGCCACCUGGACCGACACUGACGCUGAGGCGCGAAAGCGUGGGGAGCGAACAGG